GCCUCGGUGGUGUAGUGGUAGCACGAGUCCUUGGUAUGGAUGAAACGAGGGUUCGACUACCGCGUGAGUCG